rnacentral:rRNA from 1 species
AUUGAACGCUGGCGGCAGGCCUAACACAUGCAAGUCGAACGGGUGGCGGACGGGUGAGUAAUGUAUGGAAAACUGCCUGAUGGAGGGGGCUAAAUACUGGAAACGGUAGCAAAUACCGCAUACCAUCAGAUGUGCCCAGAUGGGAUGAGCUUGUUGGGGGGGUAACGGCUCACAGAGGCGACGAUCCCUAGCUGGUCGGAGAGGAUGACCAGCCACACUGGAACUGAGACACGGUCCAGACUCCUACGGUAGGCAGCAGUGGGGAAUCUUGCACAAUGGGCGCAAGCCUGAUGCAGCCAUGCCGCGUGUAUGAAGAAGGCCUUCGGGUUGUAAAGCACUUUCAGCGGGGAGGCGUUACCCGCAGAAGAAGCACCGGCUAACUCCGUGCCAGCAGCCGCGGUAAUAC